GAUGAACGCUGGCGGCGUGCCUAAUACAUGCAAGUCGAGCGAACGGACGAGAAGCUUGCUUCUCUGAUGUUAGCGGCGGACGGGUGAGUAACACGUGGAUAACCUACCUAUAAGACUGGGAUAACUUCGGGAAACCGGAGCUAAUACCGGAUAAUAUUUUGAACCGCAUGGUUCAAAAGUGAAAGACGGUCUUGCUGUCACUUAUAGAUGGAUCCGCGCUGCAUUAGCUAGUUGGUAAGGUAACGGCUUACCAAGGCAACGAUGCAUAGCCGACCUGAGAGGGUGAUCGGCCACACUGGAACUGAGACACGGUCUAGACUCCUACGGGAGGCAGCAGUAGGGAAUCUUCCGCAAUGGGCGAAAGCCUGACGGAGCAACGCCGCGUGAGUGAUGAAGGUCUUCGGAUCGUAAAACUCUGUUAUUAGGGAAGAACAUAUGUGUAAGUAACUGUGCACAUCUAGACGGUACCUAAUCAGAAAGCCACGGCUAACUACGUG
rnacentral:rRNA from 1 species